rnacentral:tRNA from 1 species
GGUAGAUCAGCGGUAGAUCGCCACCUUGGCAUGGUGGAGGCCUCGGGUUCAAAUCUCGAAACCACCA